rnacentral:lncRNA from 1 species
AGAUGCAAAUACAAAUUCAACAUCGCUAAAAACAAAAAGGAUGAAUCUGCGAACAAACUCACAACAUCCGUGUUAAUAGCAUACAACGACAAAAUGUCUACAAAUAAUAAUAUGAUAAAACUAAAGUCACCGAAAUAUCCAUGCUUCCGGAUCUGCAACGUUGAUGCCCAAAUUAUUGAUUGAAUCUGCAAUUGAUUGAAGAUGAUCUUUCAAAUAUGAACUAAACGAACACCGUAACAAGACGGAGAAUUCAACAAUGUCGUACCAAGACGACGAUCAACACAAACGCCGCACUCAG